rnacentral:rRNA from 1 species
GACGAACGCUGGCGGCGUGCUUAACACAUGCAAGUCGAACGGAAAGGCCCUGCUUUUGUGGGGUGCUCGAGUGGCGAACGGGUGAGAAACACGUGAGUAACCUGCCCUUGACUUUGGGAUAACUUCAGGAAACUGGGGCUAAUACCGGAUAGGAGCUCCUGCUGCAUGGUGGGGGUUGGAAAGUUUCGGCGGUUGGGGAUGGACUCGCGGCUCAUCAGCUUGUUGGUGGGGUAGUGGCUUACCAAGGCUUUGACGGGUAGCCGGCCUGAGAGGGUGACCGGCCACAUUGGGACUGAGAUACGGCCCAGACUCCUACGGGAGGCAGCAGUGGGGAAUAUUGCACAAUGGGCGGAAGCCUGAUGCAGCAACGCCGCGUGCGGGAUGACGGCCUUCGGGUUGUAAACCGCUUUCGCCUGUGACGAAGCGUGAGUGACGGUAAUGGGUAAAGAAGCACCGGCUAACUACGUG